ACGCUCGACACCUACGGGAGGCAGCAGUCGGGAAUAUUGCGCAAUGGAGGAAACUCUGACGCAGUGACGCCGCGUAUAGGAAGAAGGUUUUCGGAUUGUAAACUAUUGUCGUUAGGGAAGAGAAAGGACAGUACCUAAGGAGGAAGCUCCGGCUAACUACGUACCAGCAGCCGCGGUAAUCUGAGGCGGGCUGGCAAGGC
rnacentral:rRNA from 1 species